rnacentral:rRNA from 1 species
UAGUUAGGUGGGAUUACCUAUUGAGUUUAAGCACAUUGAUAAGUGGAGAAAAAGAAACUUACCAGGAUUCACUUAGUAAUGAUGAGCAAACUGAGUAGAGCCUAGCUUGAGAAUUGAGCACCCACGACAUCUGAAUUGCAGUUUGGAGAAGCAUCCUCAGUAGUAGACUACGCUGAACUCCCUUAGAAAGGGGCACCAAAAGGGUGAGAGCCCCAUUGUGUCGAGACCUUGUCACACCACGAAGCAUUGUCUGUGAGUCGGGUUGUUUAAAAAUGCAGCCCCAAUCGGGCUAUAAAUUGUAUAAGGCUAAAUACACUCAAGAGAUCGAUAGCGAACAAGUAUUGUAAGUGAAAGAUGAAAAGGACUUUGAAAAGAGAGUCAAAGAGUGCUUGAAAUUAUUGGGAAGAAAGCAGAUGGGGCUAGUACACACCCUAGUCGAAUGUAGAAUGGCAAGAGCCAGUCUGUCGAUCAACUCAGGGAGUGGACCAACUUAGGUCACAGCAGCGGCCAAGCCCAAGCUUUUGAUAUGCCCUUAGAGACAUUGUCACCAUGAUUGUGGAAUGCAACACACACCACAUUAGUGUAACUUGGUACCCAUGUGCUCUUGACAUCAACCUGUAGGCUUCCAAUAUAGCCCAUCUUAAAACAUGAACUAAGGAGUCUGACAUAUGUGUGAGUCAAUGGGCUAGAAAACCCAUAAGGUGUAAGGAAGUUGAUUGGUAGGAUACCUCAUGGGUGCAUUGCCUACCAACCUUGAUCUUCUAAGAAGGGUUUGAGUGUGAGCAUGCUUGUCAAGACCUAAAAGAUGGUGAACUAUCCUGAGCAAGGUGAAGCCAAAGAAAACUCUGGUGGAGGCCCACAGUGAUAUUGAUGCUAAAAUUGUUCAUCUAAAUUGGGUAUAGGGGCAAAAAACUAAUCAAACCAUCUAGUAGCUAGUUCCUUUUAAAGUUUCCCUUAGGAUAACUGCACCCUUAGUGAGUUCUAUAGGGUCAAGCUAAUGAUUAGAGGCAUUAGGGGUGUAAUGCCCUUGACCUAUUCUCAAACUUUAAAUUGGUAGGAUGAUGCUGCUACUUCAUUGAGCCAUGCCAUGGAAUCAAUAGCUCUAAGGGGGCCAUUUUUGGUAAGUAGAACUAGCAAUGUGGGUUGAGCUGAAAGCCAAGUUACAGUGCCUAACUACAUGCUAACUUAGAACCCACAAAGGGGUUGGUCAAUUAAGAUAGCAGGAUGGUGGUCAUAGAAGUCAAAAUCUACUAAAGAGUAUAUAACAACUCACCUACCAAUCAACUAGACCCAAAAAUGGAUGGUGCUUAAGCAUGUGACCUAUACUGGCUGUCAGGGAAAAGAUCAGGCCCCGAUGAGUGAGAAGGCAAGGCGAUCAUUGCAAAACCCAUGGUAUGAGCCUGGGCAGAGCAACCGUCGUGUAGAUCUUGAUGGUGGUAACAAAUAUUCAAAUGAGAAUUUUGAAGGUGAAAAGGGGAAAGGUUCCAUGUGAAUGACACUUGCACAUGGGUUAGUUGAUCCUAAGAGAUGGGGGAAAUUCAUCCGAUAGCAUGUCCAGUGUUAGCUUUAAAAGGGAAUUGGGUUAAAAUUCCUAAACCAGAAUGGGUAGCUAACAACAACAUUAAGGAGUCUAGAGACAUUGGUGAUGGCCUCAAGAAGAGUUAUCUUUUCUGUUUAAUGGCUUGCCCACCCUAGAAACAGUGCAACCAGAGGUAGGGUCUAGCAGCUAGAAGAGCACCGCACAUCAUGCAAUGUCUAGUGCACCCUUGAUGGCCCUUAAAAAUCUAGAGGAUCGAGUGCCAUUUGUGCUUGGUUGUACUCAUAAUCGCAUUAGGUCUCCUAGAUGAAUAGCCUCUAGUUGAUGGAAUAAUGUAGGUAGGGAAAGUCAGCAAAAUGGAUCUAUAAGCUCAAGAAAAAGAUUAGCUUUGAAGGCUAGGCAUAGGGGUCCCAGUCUUGAACCCAUUGAUUGUCAAUGCACUACUAUAGCUGUUCCCAUAGUGUGAGUGGGUCAUAGCUUGCUAGCUAAAGGAUGGACUAGGAAUCCCUCCCUUGUGGGCCUUCCUCGAGUGAUGAACAAUUGACUUAGAACUAGUAUAGGCAAAGGGAAUCCGACUAUUUAAUUAAAACAUAGCAUUGUGAUGGUCCUUGUAAAUGCUCACAGAAUAUGAUUUUUGCCAGUGCUUUGAUUGUCAAAGUGAAGAAAUUUAACCAAACACGGGUAGAUGAUAGGAGUAACUAUGACUCUCUUAAGGUAGCCAUAUGCCUUGUCAUCUAAUUAGUAACAAGCAUGAAUGGAUUAACAAGAUUCCCACUGUCUCUGUCUACUAUCUAGUGAAACCAUAGCCAAGGGAAUGGGCUUGGUAGAUUUUAUGGGGAAAGAAGACCCUGUUGAGCUUAACUUUAGUCCGACUUUGUGAAAUGACUUAAUAAGUGUAGGAUAAGUGACAACCCUCAGGUGAAAUUGAAAUACCACAACUUUUAAUGUUAUUUUACUUAUUCCAUGUAUCAGAGGUGGGGUAUGACUUUUGGACCUAAGGCCAACCUCAAUUGGUUGAUCCUGGCAAAAAACAUUGUUAGGUGGGGAGUUUAGUUGGGGUAGCACAUAUGUUAAAAGAUAAUGCAAGUGUCCUAAGAUGAGCUCAAUGAGAAUUGAAAUCUCAUGUGAAAUAAAAGGGUAAAAGCUCAUUUGAUUAUGAUUUACAGUAUGAAUAUCAAUGAUGAAAGCAUGGCCUAUCGAUCCAUUAGACCUUUAAAAUUUCAAGCUAAAGGUGUAAAAAACGUUACCUUAAGGAUAACUGGCUUAUAGCAGCAAAUUGUUCAUAGUGACAUUGCUUUUUCAUCCUUUGAUGUAAGCUUUUCUUAUCAUUAUGAAGCAAAAUUCACCAUGUGUUUGAUUUUUCACCCACCAAUAGGGAAUGUGAGCUUGGUUUAGACCAUCAUGAGAUAGGCUAGUUUUACCCUACUGAUGGCAGCGUCACAAUAGUAAUUCAACCUAGUGUGAAAGGAACCAUUGAUUCUCAUAAUUAGUAAUCGCACAUGGUUGAAAAGUUGGUGGCAUGAAGCUACCAUGUGCUAGAUUAUGACUAAACAGCUCUAAGUCAAAAUCCAGGCUAGAAGUGAUGCAUGCACCUGUUGCCUAAUUGCUGACCUGCAAUAGGGGUCGAUGCCCCCUAAGGGCAUAUGUCAUAGGUGUAGCCCUUGCAAUAGACAAGUCACAUAGGCCUUUUUAGAGUUCAAUUCCAACCAAG